AUGUAUCUGUUGUUGUUCCACCAGUGUGAAAUUAAAACUCCCUCUUUGUCCAGUAUUGCUGUUCUUCUGGUCUUUCCAGUUCCUACUAUUACUAACUCCACAGUGUUGAUCUGUUCGAUUUUAAUGCUGUUACUCUUCCACCAGCUGGGCCAUGAUUACCAGUCUUCUUGUUCCCUCCAUCAGAGCUGGAUGGUCCCAUCCAACUCGGGUUACCAUCCUGCUGUGUUUAUCAUGUUGCUAAUUUGCUACUGGGCUCGAGUUACAAUUAAUUUGCCUUGUUUGGUGCUCCGGUCCAGCCCUCCUGUUCCGAAGAUCAUGCAACAGGGGAUCUAG
rnacentral:rRNA from 1 species